rnacentral:misc_RNA from 1 species
AGUCGUAACAAGGUAUCCGUAGGUGAACCUGCGGAUGGAUCAUUACCAAAGAUUCAUCUCCAUGUCUUGUGAACUGUACCUUUAACAGUCAGUGUUAUGGUAGCUUAGGCCUUAUGGUAGGCGUUAUGGUAGCGGUCGCCUUAUGGUAGCCGUUAUGGUAGCGCUAUGCCUUAUGGUAGCGGCUAUGGUAGCACUGGCUAAACUUAUACGUAACUGCUUCUGCCAAGUACUGAAGUCUAUUACAAGUUGUAACUAACUAAGAACAACUUUUAGCAAUGGAUCUCUUGGCUCUC